rnacentral:lncRNA from 1 species
CUGAACUUCCACCAACUAGCUAUUAGAACACACCUCAACUAUAUUAGAACACGCCUCGACUAGUAAUUGUUCAUUUUACAUACCGUAACUCACAAACUGUGAUACUUUUAAGCGUGUUUUUCACCCUUGCGCGAGUUUCCUACCUGAACUAUCACCAACUAGCUAUUAGAACACACCUCAACUAUUAAUUCUUCAUUUUACAUACUGUAACUCGAAAACUGAGAUACUUUUAAGCGUGUUUUUCACCCUUGACUAUCACCAACUAGCUAUUCAAGCACAAUUCAAUUAUUAAGUGUUCAUUUUACAUAACGUAACUCAAAAACUGAGAUACUUUUAAGCAUGUUUUUCACCCUUGCGCGAGUUUCCUGCCUGAACUAUCACCAACUAAAUAUUAGAGCACACUUCAAUUAUUAAGUGUUCAUUUAACAUAACGUAACUCAAAAACUAAGAUACUUUUAAGCGUGUUUUUCAUCCUUGCGUGAGUUUCCUACUGAACUAUCACCAACUAACUAUUAGAACACACCUCAACUAUUAGUUGUUCAUUUUACAUAACGUAACUCAAAAACUGAGAUACUUUUAACCCUGUUUUUCACUUUCACCCUUGCACGAGUUUCCUACCUGAACUAUCACCAACUAACUAUUAGAACACACCUCAACUAUUAAUUUUUCAUUUUACAUAUCGUAACACAAAAACUGAGAUACAUAAGCGUGUUUUUCACCCUUUCACUCAAUCCAAUAUACAAAAGAAAAUAAAUCAGCUUAUAUAAAUGCAACGGAAUUUAGGUGAUUUCUUUCCAUGUAUCCUAGCCUUCUAGUACCUGUUGCUAGUGGAAGGUAACCAUCCCGUGGAAUUAUUUAGAGGUGCGGGCAAGCUGGUCUGGACACCACGAUUAUCAAAAUAAAAAAAAUAAAAAUACACGCAACUGAAUCAUGGGAAAGUUAUUAACAAACUCAAGUACAAUAUUUAAUCAAAUAAUUAAAUUUUAAUGUAAAUUAAUCACGAUAAAAUCAAAUCUAUUUACUUAAUUUCCUCCUAAAACAAACCAAAGAAACGCAACAAUUUUUUUUUAUUUACCUCCCAAUACAAUCCUUGAAAGUUUGCUCAGUUUUUUCACACUUUCGUAUGAAUUUUCCAGGCUCAGUUUCUUCGGUUCGGCAUUUAGUACUCACAAUCUUCCUAGUAGCACACCGUUCACCGCCGCCUCCGUCGCCAUCGCCGCCGGAGGAUGAUGAUCUAGGGUUCAAAAAAUCAUCGGCGCCGUAACGGUCCGAAACGUCGUCGUUCUUCCAUACCCAACCCAUUGCUUGGAAAAUAAAUCAGGGAUGUUUCUGGAAGGUGAAAGAAAUGGAAUGAGUUAUUUCUAUAUAGUUUUGCUUAUAAAGGAACUUUAAUUUUAAAAAAUAAAAAAUAAAAAUGGGUGCAAAAAAGGAUAUAAGUAAUUUAAAAAAAAGUUAAAAAUGAUAAAAAACACAGCUAAACUAUUUCAAGUGUUUUAAAUUAUAUAGCUUGAGGGGGCAAGUUUCCUGCAUAAAUUAUCAUUCAGUGAUUAGCGAAAGUCGACACGCAUUUUGAUCUAAUAUAUAAACUCUCAUUUUUAUAUAAAAUUUUGACACGUAGCAAUCCACAUGGACAAUCAAUUCCACUAUAGUAAAGUUAAAUAAAUUAAUGUUUGUUUUCUUUAUUCAGAGAAUCUUACAAAAUCUAUGUAUGUAAAAUCCAUAGAUAUAGUAGAAUUCUCCGAAUAGGGGAGACAAAAUAUUUUCGACCAUAUAUGGUGAGAUCUCCAGUUCUAUCAUUGGAAAUCUUUGACAUUUGCUGAAAAAUUGAUAAGUAAAAUUUUGGGAGAUUUUCGUUUUGGUGGUGGUUUAUGGUCGUUGGGUUAUUCGAAGUAGUGAAAUGGUCGUUGUGUUGGUUGGAGAUUGUGGAGGAAAUGAUGCUGGGGCUUGGUUGGUCGGAGUAGAGAGGAAGAAAGAGGGAGUGAGGGAGGUCGAAGCUUGGUGAUUUUUCAAUGGAUGAGCGGUUGGAAACACAAAAGACGAUGGACCGACUGAUUUUGUGGGAGUUGCUCGUUGUGAAGGAAAAAAAUGAAUUGAAUUUGAGAUUUGGGAAAAUGUAAUGUAUAUCCACUGGUUUAGAGAGAGAAAGUUUAAAAAAAAAAAAGAAUUUAUGUAAUAAUUUUAAAGAGUUAGAAAUUUAAAGUAAUAACGAUAAGUUAAGGUAUGAUAUUAUGUAAUAUGUCUUAUUCUCCAUCGUGACAUCUAGCAAUGUUGUAUCGUUUUAGUCACGACGUUGAUAUCUCCGUCUUAAAAAGGGAAACUUUAGGCUUUUAAGAAAAUCAAUUGGAAAAUAUAAAUAAAAUGACGUGUUAGCUAAUAGAGUCACCAUAUUAUCAGAUGAAUGAAGAUUUUAUUGCAAAAUACACCUAAAUACGUUUAGAUAAAUAUUUAGUGCAGUCAACAUAGAGGAAUGUUCUGCUAGCCAUUCAUUACGUGUUUACUAAGAUAAAAUAUUCACACUCCAACUUGCUUAGGUAUGAAAAUCAAAAGAAUAUUUUUGACAAAGUAAUAAUGAUAAGUUAAAAGUAAGGUAUUAUGUAAUUUGCCUGAUUCUCCAUUGUGACAUCUGAUAAUGUUAUACCGUCUCAGCCAUGAUAUUGAUAUCUCCAUCUUGAAAAUAAAAAAUGUAGGCUUUUAAGGAAAUCAAUUGAAAAAUAUAAAUAAAGUGAUAUUUGAGCUAAUCGCGUUAUCAUGUAUAUCAGGUGGACGAAGAUUUUAUUGCCAAAUACACUCAGAAGCGUUUAGAUAAAUAUUUUGUGCAGUCAACAUAUAGGUAUGUUUCGUUAGCCGUUACGUGAUCGUUAAGAUAAAAUAUCCACACUCCAAAUUAUUUAGGUAUGAAAAUAAAAAAAUAUUCUUUACCCUUUUAAGUCUUAAGAAAAAAAAAGUAUGGGAAGUGCAGUGCAAAAAGACAUGUAGUCCUAAAAGUAAAGAAGCUUGUAAAAAAAGAUUAAUUUUAUUGGAAUUUUUCAUACGUCUUGACUACGUAAUUAAAACAAAGUAACGAAAUUAUGGUUAUAAUUCUUCAAAAAUACACCAAAAAUUUUUAAAAAACUUUAUUCAAGUUUCAAAUGUAUCAUAUUGUGUUGUAUUGUAAUAAUAUUAUUUUGAUAAAUAUUAUUUCACGUUAUUCCGUCUCGUCACACGUAAUCAAAAUGUAAGGCUCAAAAAAUUCCAGUAGCUUAAUUAAUUGAUUACCUAAACUAUUACUUGUUGGUCAAGAUUCUACUACCCACCUUAUAAUCCCCUCUCUUAUCCUCCUCCCAUUAACUAAAAAAGGAAACUAAUUUUUGUAGUCUUUUUUACAAAUUUUGAUUAGGACUAAGCCUCAACAAUAUUUUUCCUAUUCAUAUUUGGAUUUGGAGAAUUAAAGUUAAUGCAAUUAAAACUUUCUUGUAUCAAUCCAUAUUGAUAUGGGAUUAAGAGAAGCCAAAUAGCUCUAUAAAUAUAAACCAAUACUAUUUCACAUUCUUCAUCACAAAUUUCUUUAGCACUUAAUAGUCCUUAGUUUAUAAACUUGUUUUUCCCUUGUUUGUUGAUCAUGAUCACUUGUUUGUUGAUCAUUAUCACCAUGCCUAUCAAGCAAGAAAUAUCAUCGACUUAACGGACGAUUUAGACGAUACCAAUGUCCCCAUGAACACAAGUAAUGAUAUAGUUCCUGUAACCAAUUAUGGUGUUGGUUCUUGUUUUCUUGAUAUUCAAGAAAGUCCUAUGAAGAAGACGAAACUUGAAACUGAGACUUGUAUGAUUGCUUCUUUGUCAAUUUGUCCUAAGAAUGAAUUCGUAGGAGGUUUCCCUGCUGUUAAUCCAAUUGCUACUAGUUGUAAGCAAUUCUGGAAAGCUGGAGAUUAUGAUGGCAAUAAGGAGGGUGCAUGUCAUGAUCAAACUGUUGUUGGUAUGGAUCAUGUGAGAGUUCAUCCGAAAUUCUUGCAUUCGAAUGCUACUAGUCAUAAAUGGGCAUUGGGUGCUUUCGCUGAGCUUUUAGACAACGCGAUGGAUGAGGUUUGCAAUGGUGCUACAUUUGUUAGCGUAGACGUGCUGGACAAUAAGAAAGAUGUUGGGAGUAAGAUGUUGUUAGUUGAAGACAAUGGUGGUGGAAUGACUCCUGAUAAGAUGCGCCAGUGCAUGUCGCUUGGGUACUCUGCGAAAAGCAAAUUAGCAAACACGAUUGGUCAAUAUGGAAAUGGUUUCAAAACGAGUAGUAUGAGGCUAGGGGCUGAUGUGAUUGUGUUUUCACGGGGGAGGGAUAGAGCAAUGAGCAUGUCGACACAGAGUGUAGGAAUGUUGUCGUAUACUAUUCUAAGGGGCACGGGGAAAGAAGAUAUAGUUGUUCCUAUGAUCGAUUAUUUUGUGAAGAGGGGAGGGACGUGGGAGAUGUUGGUUCGGUCUACAGCUGAUGAUUGGAAGAGGAAUUCGGAGACAAUAGCACAAUGGUCUCCUUAUGAGAACGAACAGGAUCUUUUCCAGCAGUUUGAGUUAUUGAAAGGUGAUCAUGGGACGCGAAUUGUCAUAUACAAUCUUUGGGAGGACGAAGAAGGAGCCCCAGAGCUCGACUUUGACACUGAUCCACAUGACAUUCAAAUAAGGGGUGUAAGUCGAGAUGAAAAGAAGAUUGAGAUGGCGAAAGAAUAUCCUAACCCCAGGCACUUUCUAACUUAUCCACAUUCUCAAAGGAGUUAUGCUUCGAUUUUGUAUCUGAGGCUUGCUCCUGGAUUUCGAAUAAUUUUGAGGGGGGAAGAAGUUGAACAUCAUAAUAUGGUAAACGACAUGAUGCUGUCGGAGGAGAUUACGUACAGACCACAAUCCGUUGGUUAUGAAACAUCGGUAGCAGAAGGAACUAUUGGUUUUGUGAAAGAUGCAAAACAUCAUAUUGAUAUUCAAGGUUUCAAUGUUUAUCACAAGAAUAGGCUCAUUAAGCCUUUCUGGAGGGUGUGGAAUGCUGCUGGCAGCGAUGGUCGCGGUGUGAUAGGCGUCUUGGAAGCUAAUUUUGUUGAACCAGCUCACGAUAAACAGGGCUUUGAGCGCACGAUUGUCCUUGCAAGACUCGAGGCACGCCUGCAAUUUAUGCAGAAGAAGUAUUGGUCUUCAAACUGUCAUUUCAUUGGUUAUGCUAAGCGUCGCAAUGUAAAGAACACUACUGUCUCUCCUGAUCAAGAAGCACCAAACACUUGUUCUGCGCCUACAAGCAAAUCCUGUUCCCCAUUCAGCUCCAAUGUCGGCCACACAACCUGUCAUGAUGAUAGAUCUAAACCGAAAUCAUCCGGAGUAGAACAUGAGACGAGACCCGUUCAUUCUUCAGUAAAGGACAGUUCGGUGCAGGAAGCAUCCCGUGUUUAUGUUUAUGUAGGAUCUGGGGAAGUCCCACACCCAGUUCAAGUUUCAAUACAAGCAGGACGCCAGCCUAUGUAUGUAGAUCAAAACCAGCAAGUGCGUACACUAAAUGAGCAAGGUCAUCUAACUCGGCAAGAGUGUACAUUGAAUAGGCAUCAUGAUCUAACUCAGCCAACGUGUACAUUGAAUAGACAACCCGAUAUAACUCAGCAAAUGUGUAUAUUAAAUAGGCAAACUGAUGGAACUCCAGUAAACACUUCUGCACCUAAAAGAAACUCCAAUGCUGUGUACUGUCACAUAGAAGUCAAAUACGAACACAUAAUUAAAAAAAAAUUAUCACAGCAUCAACAACAUCGUGGCACUACAUUAACUCAUUAACCGGCAAUACCGAAUAACAAAUUCCAUCUGACAAGAAAAGACAGCAAUUUGACCACCAAUCUUAGCCACUCUGCAUAAUGUCAAGGCUGUGGUAGCGCUUAAAGGGCUUAAAGGGUCCUUUUCCUCCUCUUCUCUCCACUCGAGAAAAAACCUUGCAAAACUCUGACUCUUCAGUGAACUCUCUUAUCCUACGUAUAGGCUACAAACCAGUCAUUAUUUUGUUAAAAACGUAAUUUACCAAGAAAACUGACACACUCGAUGUGAGGCAAGCUUCUUGAUUAGCGAUUUCACAGACAUCCUAGCACGUUGCAGAAGCAAUUACUCUCUCACCAAACACCAUAUAUCACUGUACAAGGUAUACAAAUGUCGCAGGUCUUAUGUUUCGUCAAGGGACUCACAGUUUCCUCAGAGCUUGCGCAAAUCGUAGACAUGUUGGCAGUUCCUAUUCAUAUUUGCAUAUUCUAGAAUUCACCCCAAUCACACUAUACCUCAAGUCGUGACUCUUUUAGGGCCGUCCCUAGGAUCCGAACCAAAAACCUGCUCAACUAAACUGCAAAAUACAAAUCGAGAAAACUUAGCACAGUACAAUCAUCAUCAAUGUAUCAAAAAUGUAGCACAAUAUUCCCAGCAUAUUAUAGAUUAAAAAAAAAAAAAUAGUAUACACUUGGGAUAUCCAGCACUUUUAGCAGCAGUUCUGCCAGAUAGAUUGGUGUAGUAUUGUUGAAUAAUGAAGCUAUUCGACCUUGAUCCGCUUGGUUCAGGGGAAUCAUGGGAACUCACAGCUGAACUUCCAGAGGACAUCCCUGCAACAAUUUGGUGUAUGUCCCAAAUCAUCAGAUAAUUGGUUUGUUGAAAACAAAUCUGGUAGCAACAAAGAGUUUGCAACAAAAAGAAAAACAAGGGCUAACAACACCAACAAAAUACCCAGUGUAGUGGGGUCUGGGAAGAUAAAGUAUACACGGACCUUACCCCUAUCUCGUAGAGGUAGGGAGGCUGUUUGCGGAGAAAAAAGGUUAAUCUAUUGCAAAUAUGUGAUUUCCGGUAACACUGUCACUCGCAGAAAAUGAAAAAUCCUUGUACAUACACAUUAUAUUCCCCCACUUUUUUGCAUCAUCAUCUUGGCAUGGAGAUGCUCAGAUAAUGUGCACAAGUAUUCAAGUCAAGACAAGAAUGAUGUUGGUGUAUAGCCAAUGCAUAACAGGUCACACACAAUAGUUUAAGAGGAUGCGGGAGACUGCCUCUAUGAUGCUGCUCACAUAAUGUCGGGUGAAUCACAAGUUAAAGAUAAGCCCGUAAAAUUUAACACCUUCAAUGAAAUACCUUAAUUAUUCCUAAUGCAAUAGUUUAAACAGGACAAGCGAGGAAGAAAGUGCAUAAAAGGAAAAUAACUACUCCAGGAAUUAACACUAACACUACCCAGGCAUGAUUCCUAAAACAAUUACACACAAAUUGUCAUAUGAAAGAUACAUGGAAAAUGCCAAAUUAAAUGAUUACCUUGAAAACACAGGAUGAGAAAGAAGAGGACAGAAAAGAGAAAGGCAAGGACACUGCCCAUGGAUGAUGGUGAAGUAGAAGAUGCUUUUGCUGCUUUCAUUUUCUUCAAAGCCUUGAUUCGCUCAAUUCGCGCACGCUUGAUCAUUGCGAGUUCGGCGAUCUCUUUGAUAAGCUUCUGGUCAGCAGCAUCCAAGGAUAAUCCUCUUGGAGGUCUGGGAGGUUUUUUAGCACUGGUGGAUUUACGCUUAUCUUUCACUUUUUUCUUGUCUAUGCGAUUUGCAGUCGUCACAGGUACUGUAGAAAGCUCAUGCUCAUGCUCAUGCUCAUGCUCAUCCUUGAUCAAACAGAGCCCAUUUUCAACUUCAAUAAGUUGUUCAUCGUCACAGGUACUGUAGAAAACUCUCUUGCCUAGUUUAUCAGCAGAAAAAGGAUCAGGACUUGCUGGUGCUUCACUCAUUCUCUUGCACAUCUCAACAUCAACCACAAAAUCAAAGGGUGUACGAUCCAUGACAACUCUACUCGGCAAACUUAAAUAUCUCUAUAAUAAAUUCGAGAACAUAAGCCAGCACCCAGAUUUAUCUUUCAACAGGUUAUCAUCUGAAAGACAAUUUAUCAAACACCAUUCAGUUUCCUGAGCUCAAUUAUUAAUUUCUUCACCCCCACCCCCACCCCCCAAUUUAUAUCCAAGGCCCCUAAAAUUCUGUCAAUUUUUGGAAACAAUUCUACUAUUUCACUGUAGAUUUCUUCAUAGGCACCUAAAGCUUCACAAUUUCAAAUAAACACAAGCUGGUAAAGGAAUUUACUUUGGAAACAAGAAAGGAAAUCAGUUACAAUCUGAAUCUAACAAAUUAAUUAAACUAGCUGAACGAAGAUAACUUGGGAAAUAAACAUCAAAAGCGAACUUAUAACCGAUUAAAGAAUAAAGAAGCAACUCAUUCAGUCAGAUUAACAUAGUUCAUCAAUAAAGAUGAAUUGGGAAGGAAACAUCAAUCAAAUUAAAUACUAUAAAGAAAGUAAGUUGGGGUUUUAGUGUGUGGACCUUUAGGAUUGAAGACAAGGCAGAUAGAUCCAUAGAGAGUGGAUAGUGUGAUUCAAAAAUUGUGGAGAUUCAAUUAAGAGGAGUGCACGUAUAUCAAUCACUAUAUAUAUUAAUAAAUAAAUGACGAGUGCCAUUGCCAGAGCUUGACAUUCAAAUUGAAUUAUAUGAGAGAGAGAGAGAGAGAGAGUGAAGGCGACAAGUAAGCCUAGAUGCACGCGGGUGUUUCUGUGGGAAUUAACACCGAAACUUCAACUUACUUUUUUCAUUAUUUUUAUUAUUUUUUUUAAACAAAAAAAUCAUACUACUCCGUAAUUGUUUUAAGGAAAGCGACUUGUCCAAAAUCUGUUGCCGUUUGAUUAUGAAAUUGACAGCACACUGCAGCAGCAGGUGAGGAGAAAGUGAGAUUCUGCCUACCUGCCAGUUUUUGAUGAAUCUCCACCGACACUUUUCUCUUCCCACUUCUAACCCUAACCCCUCUCCAUAAUUAAUCCAACAUGACAACUUACGUCAAAUUUAGCUCACUACUAUAUUAUAUAAUAAAUAGAUUAUAUUUAUAUUUAAUUCCAAGAUGUUUAGUUUUGUGGUAUCAUAUUAAUUUAUCCUUCUUAUUUAUGUUUUCUCAAAUUAAAAUUGAACCUACUUAUAUUUCACUACGUAUUCUAAAAUUUAAAUCAACGAGUAGGAAAUACAUAACCCACUUUCCUUUUUAAAUGACAACGGAUUCUUACUAUAAGAAAAAAAAAAAAUAUUUAUAUGUUGUUGCAACUUUAGACUAUGAUAUUAUGGGUGCAGCUAAAUGACUAGAAUGAUUCAAUUUUGUAAAAUGACUUUUUGGCCCUUUGACUCCAAAAUCACUUACCUUUCAUUCCAAAAUGCAAAACUACUUCCUUUUAACUCCAAAAUUAUUUAUUUUUCCCUCUAAAAAUAAAACCACUUUAACUUUUAUUUUUUAUUUUUAUUAUUCUUUCUUAUUUUUUUUACUAUUUUUUCAUAUUUAAUUUUUAUAUUUUAUUUUUUCAUUCUACUUUUUCCUUACUUAUUUUAAGUUUUCUCAUUUAAUUUGAAAUCUUUUAAUCAUCAUUUUUAACUUGUAUUAUAUAUUUUUUUUCUUCCAUUACUUCUAUCUCUUUAGUUAUUUUACUAUACAGAUCUUUCAACUUUUUUAUUUUUAAUUUUUUUUUUAAUUUUAAAUCCUCCAUAUAUCUCAUCUACAAAAUUUCUUCUAUAAUUUUAUUUUUUUAAUGAAUUCAAUUUAACAAAAAUAUUUAACUAAGAGAAACCAUGAAUGAAAUUUUUGGAAUUGAAAAUAGUAAUAGUUUAGUCGCUAAAUUUAUAAUCAACAAAAAUUCAAAUAUGAUUACUUUUAAAGUUAAAUUCAUUUUUAUUUUGCUUAUAAACAAAAGAAAAUUGCCUUUAAAUAGCAAUUCAAUUGAUAGUUAUCAACAUGAUAUUUUAACUGUAAAUUAAUAAGUUUGACUUAAAAAUUUUAGUGUAAUUUUUAUCUUGUCUCUAAAUAACUCGCAUAUUAAGUUUAUAUAGGUUUGAUUAAAAAUUCAACUGUGUGCAAAGAUUAAGUAUAUGAAUAAAAAUUAAUGAGAUCGUCACAUAAUGUUAUUCUAACAAACUGAUCAAAAAAUUUAUAAUCAUUGAAUCACAACUUUGAGAUUAGAAAGCUGCGAUAACAUACAAAUUUAUUUUAGUUAAAUUAUAUUUAAUAUUUGGAAGUAUUUUUAUUUUGUUUCACUAAAAUUAUAAAGUAUUUCAUAAUUAUUUUGUCUAAGAAAAUUAAUUGGCUUGUAAAAAUUGAAGCCUAGAAUUAUUUGGCUUGUAAAAAUUGAAGCCGAAAGUAUUUUAUCUUAUUGUUGUUGGUGAUGCUGGUGUUGUUGUUGUUGUUGUUGGUGGUGGUGAUGGUGGUGUUGCCGCUGCUGCUACUACUACUGUGCUGCUACUGCUACUACUACACUUCUUAUUAAAAAUAAAUUUAAGAAGUGAAAUUGAGUUACUAGAAGUCAUCACUUGUGUUGGUGAGUCAUAAAAUUCACAAAUUGAAACUCGAUUUAAUCCUAGUAUAUGCUGAAUCAAUAUUUUUCAAAUAGAAUUCGGCCAUUUAUGUUGACUAUAUAGUGACAAAUUGACACAUGAUUCAAUCCUAACAUAGAUUGAAUCAAUAUGUCACAUUUAGAAGUCAAUCUUUUAUUUUAACUAUAGUCGUGAUAGAUUGAAACUCGAUUUGAUCCUAACAGAGAUUGAAUCAAUAUUUUUCAAGUAGAAAUAAAUUAUUUAUGUUGAUUCUAAUCACGAUAAAUUGAAAUCCAAUUCAAUCCUUAUAAACACCUAAUUUCGUCCCUCCCCGAUGUCGUUUUAUCCAUUUUUAUCUUAUCCUACCGUGUACCCUCACCCGUGUGAUAAUCCCUCCACAAAUAACAAAAAUAACAAUCCCCUAACUAAUUUUGUCUUAUCCUAGCAGCUUACCCAAACAAAAAUAGACAUCUAACCCUUAUCCCUCCAAUUAAAAAACAACACCUACCUACCCUAUCCUAACAACCCAUCCAAUCAAAAACCACAUCACACCCUACCCCCUACCCCACGUGACCCCACCUACCUCACCACUACCCCACCCUCAUCACAUAUAUCACACACUCUCAUAUAUUCACUGAUAUAUUCACCAACACACAGAUACCCACCGACAAAAAACUCACCUCACGCCAUUUUCUUAGGCUUCUUCUUCUUCUCACACAGAGCACACACUCACAUACCGUCACUGACUAUCACACAUGCACAAUGAAUUCACGCACAAAAUCUCACGCCACACACUGAUAGGAAUCCGAAAACACAGUGGACAAAGGCGAACACCCACACGUCACAGUCACCCUCCCCGACGCUUCACCGGAAUUUGAUUUCCUCGGAAAAGAAGACACGCUCUGAGAUCGGAAUAUGGAGAAAGUGAGAUAAUCGAGCAAGAAAAUCAUAGAAAAUCGAAGAAGAUAUUGAGUAGCGAAGAAAUCUGAGAGGAAUGGAGAGAUGGUGAGAAGCAAGUAAAAAUCGAGAGAGAGAGAGAUCGGAGACCGGCGAGUCUUCGCCUGAAGCUCACAGGAAAGGGCUCUUCCGCCGCCAGAAUUGGCAAAACCAGCCUCCAAACAACUGAAAUAGACCUGUUAUGGGCUGAUUCCGACCAGCUCCACCAGAAAAUUGAUAUGUCGCCCAUCACCGAACAACCACAGCUGCAACCCAUCGAAAAUCAUUCGACAUCCUACGACCCAACUUCACCGUUGUUGUUGUCUCUGUUUCGACAGCAGAAAUACACCAGAAAAGGUAAUAUUCCCACCGAUUGAGUUUUGAGUGACGACAGUCGUGGAUUCUGUUCGAGAACUUCGAUUUGGGCUUGGGUUAGUCGUUGUCUUUGAUUUGGGUUGGUCAGUUCGUGAUUGAGGUUCAAAUUGAGAGUUUUUGGAUCCGACUUUGUCUUUUGAUCACAUAUUUUGGCACUCUACACUUUCUCUCAUCUAUUUUAUUAUUUGUGAUGUUUCGUAUUUCGAAUUGGAUAUUCGUGUGUGUGGUUUGAUCUUCGUUGGUGAGAUGAUUUCGUUGGUCACGAUUGUGUGUGAUGUCAAUGAUGAAUAUUGAGUUUACAGUGAUUGUGGAUUGUUGAAAUAGUAAUCGUGAUUGUUGAAAUUUUGUGUUAAAAUAAAAUUGGGGGUGGGAAUUAAAAAUUGCUAAAAUGAAUGUUGAUUAAUUUUGAUGUAUGAAUAAUGUUAAACACGAUGGAAUUGUGAUAUGUUGAACUUGAUAGGCAAAUGUAGGUCGGGUAGUCAAAUUUAGAAAUAACAAUUUAUUGGAAUAUUUGAAUAUGUGCGUGAAUGGUUCGUUUUACUUUAUCAAACGAAAAGCUUCAAUUGUAUAUUUUGGUCGGGGAAUGCCUUAAAGUAUCUGUAUAUAUUUAUUCACCGGGGAAUGCCCCGAGGUAUCAUGUACCCGGAGGACAUUUGUGGUGAAGGCCUGAGGUGUCGGGUAGAGCAUUAGUUUAGGAUUAGCGUAGGUUUACUUUUAGUCCCUUUUUAUUUCGGGUUGUAAUAAUUGGACUGGACUUUACAUUUUAGAUUAUUUUGUUUUGUUUGAUUAUUUUGCGUGCUUCUUGUGCGGUUUAUACAUUUCUUAGUGCCAAAAAAAAUAGUCGAUACACUCUACCAAGCGACCGUGGUUGAACCACGGGAUCGAGAGGUGCCUAACACCUUCCCCUCGGUCAACAGAAUUCCUUAUCCGGAAUCUCUGUUCGCAAACCAGUUUAAAGAGUCAAAUGGUUUUGAAAAGAAUUUUCUAAUGGUGACUUGGCACACCAGAUUAUGUCAAGUGGCGACUCUGAGUAAAAAAUGUAAAUAAUCUUUUUCCGAAAUAAAUUUUCAUUUCUUGUCACUUAAAUAAUAAAAUCCUUUCGAACUAAAAAAUAUAAAUCUUUCGGGAGUCAAAAAAGGGGUGUGACAAUCCUAAGGUAGAUUCAAUCAACAUUUUUCAAAUAAAAGUCAACCAUUUAGGUUGAUUAUAGUUGAUCAAGACAAAUUAAGAUACAAUUCAAUCCUAAUAUUGAUUGGUACGCGCAAGCUGAUCCGGACACCAUGGUUUAAAAAAAUAAAAAAAAAAUCAAACAUUUAUGUUGAUUAUAAUCGUGAUAAAUUAAAACUCAAUUUAAUCGUAAUAUAGAUUGAAUCAAUAUUUUUCAAUUAGAAGUCAAACAUUUACGUUGAUUAUAGUGGUGACAAAUUGAAACUUAAUUUAAUUUUACUACUAAUAAUAAAGAGCAAUAAGUAGGCACGUCUCAACAUGCCUGCUUCAACUGCUUAAAUC